UACGGGGGGGGCGAGCGUUGUUCGGAAUUAUUGGGCGUAAAGGGCUCGUAGGCGGCCCCUUAAGUCGGACGUGAAAUCCCUCGGCUCAACCGGGGAACUGCGUCCGAGACUGGGGGGCUCGAAUCCGGGAGAGGGACGUGGAAUUCCAGGUGUAGCGGUGAAAUGCGUAGAUAUCUGGAGGAACACCGGUGGCGAAGGCGGCGUCCUGGACCGGUAUUGACGCUGAUGAGCGAAAGCCAGGGGAGCAAACGGG
rnacentral:rRNA from 1 species